GGAUGGGAUACAACACCAUCAUUUGAAAUUUUAAGACUACUUGAGAGGAAACCUUUUAAAAUGUUAAGAAUUUGCCUUUUCUUCAUGUUUUAGCCAUUUUCAAAUGGAACAAAUGGCCUGGGUUCCCCAGAGUUCCUGCAAGUCCAGCUCCCAAAGAAUACAAACUCCACCGAAGUGUUAUGUUCCUAAAACCCGUGACUGCCUGAUGUAAACACUUCCUGGUGACCUAUGAUGAAACCAGAAAUACCCUAGCAAAUCCUUUGUUUUCAUUUUAAAGAAAAGAUAAUUUCAAAAUCUUUAUUAUUUCUAAUCAAUAAUACAUUCCAAAAGAUCUUUAUUUUUAAAGCUAAAAUAACUAUGAUUUUUUAAAUGUGAGCCCACCUCGAAUCACUGGGUAAAUAAAUUUUUUUCCCUUAAACUGAUUUUAAAAAUGGAUACAACCAGUCUGAAUGAAAACAAGUAAGCAUUUUGUAAGAGUUCUUCUUCUUCAAUAGGGACAUACUUCACCCAAAAGGGGCUGAUAAAUUACAGCCAGUUAACAACAUACUCAGCUCAGACCCUAGAAAAAUACUCGCAUUUGUUUACUUCAUGAAACCAACAAAUAAGGAAUGGAUUAAAACAAGUAUCGCUCUCAGAAAAUAGCAUCUGGGAAAAAGACCUGGUUCUCCAGGGGGCUUACAGCCUGGAGCUGACCCACCAGCCUCCAGCCCUUCAGGUGCUUCCAUUAUACCCAGUUCUGAGUGCAACUCACUCCUGUUUCUUAGGCAAUCUCUGGAGCUCAGGAGGAAGGGUUACAGCACCCAUGGGCUGAGCACAUGGGCUUUGUGGCUAUUCCAGGGCAGGUAACAAAGGCCCUGGUGUGUGAAGGGACAGCAGAGCAAACAAUGGGCCCUGUCCAGCCAUCCUGGCCUGCAUUUGGCAUUCUUGCAUUUGGUGAUGAUUCCUUUGGCCUGAAUUGUGUCAUGCCCUUCCUGUGCAAAGUGCAAAGCCAGUCCCUUCACAGCAGAUGAGCCCCUCCCUCUGCUCCUUGGUGAUUUUACUCUGCAGAGCCUCCCAGAGGGUUUGAUCGCAUCCAACUCUGCACACGUGGGUCAAGAGGAUCCCUCAGCUCAGGCACAAACUAUUAAGUGAAACUUUUGAAAGAGCCAAUCUCGUUUCUGCUGAAGCAUCUGCUGAAAUGUCAAGAGGCACAUACAUAUUCUUUCAGGCUCUUUUAAAUUCUCCCCGCCUGUAAGAAGAGGUAAGAAUGAACGAACACCCAGAUGUUCUUGAAUCCAAGACAGAAGGAAUAAAAACACUCCUCCCAAAAUGAAGUGCUAAGGUCCUCUUAACUUGGUGAACAAAAAGGCUUCUCUAACAAACAGCAAGUCUCUGGUUUUCCAGAAUUAAAAAACAAAAAACAA